rnacentral:rRNA from 1 species
UAGAGUUUGAUCCUGGCUCAAGGACGAACGCUGGCGGCGUGCCUAAUACAUGCAAGUCGAACGCUUUACUUUUCACCGGAGCUUGCUCCACCGAAAGUAAAGAGUGGCGGACGGGUGAGUAACACGUGGGCAACCUGCCCAACAGAGGGGGAUAACACUUGGAAACAGGUGCUAAUACCGCAUAAUUUGUUUUCCCGCAUGGGAGAAUAAUAAAAGACGCCUUACGGUGUCACUGUUGGAUGGGCCCGCGCUGCAUUAGUUAGUUGGUGGGGUAAUGGCCUACCAAGACCGUGAUGCAUAGCCGACCUGAGAGGGUGAUCGGCCACACUGGGACUGAGACACGGCCCAGACUCCUACGGGAGGCAGCAGUAGGGAAUCUUCGGCAAUGGACGAAAGUCUGACCGAGCAACGCCGCGUGAGUGAAGAAGGUUUUCGGAUCGUAAAACUCUGUUGUUAGAGAAGAAUAAGUGGGAGAGUAACUGUUCCCACCUUGACGGUAUCUAACCAGAAAGCCACGGUUAACUACGUG